rnacentral:rRNA from 1 species
AGCGAACGCUGGCGGCAGGCCUAACACAUGCAAGUCGAACGGACCCUUCGGGGGUAGUGGCGGACGGGUGAGUAACACGUGGGAACGUGCCCUUUGGUUCGGAAUAGCUCCUGGAAACGGGUGGUAAUGCCGAAUGUGCCCUUCGGGGGAAAGGUUUAUCGCCAUUGGAGCGGCCCGCGUCUGGUUAGCUCGUUGGUAGUGUAACGGACUACCAAGGCGACGAUCAGUAGCUGGUCUGGGAGGAUGAUCAGCCACAUUGGGACUGAGACACGGCCCAGACGCAUGCGGGAGGCAUCAGUGGGGAAUCUGGCGCGACGGGCGAGAGCCUGACGCGGCCGUGCCGCGGGAAUGAUGAAGGUCUUGGGAUUUUAAGAUUCUUUCGCAGGUGACGAUAAUGGCGGUAGCCGGCGAAGAAGCCCCGGCUAACUCCGUGCCAGAAGCCGCAGUAA